rnacentral:lncRNA from 1 species
GAAGAAGGUGAACAAGACUGGACCAAGUCCUGACCCCUGGGGGACACCGCUAGCUACAGGCCUCCAACUAGGCUCUGUGCCGCUGAUCACAACCCUCUGAGCUCUGCCUUUCAGCCAGUUCUCAGUCCACCUCACUGUCCACUCAUCCAGCCCACACUUCCUGAGCUUGCCUAUGAGACCAAGCACAGUCCCCAGGGUGCAGGAUCCAGAGAUGGUGUGAGGGACUGAAGAACCACCUCUCAGCCCAUCUGUGUGGGCAGGAAUGGGUCUGGGCUUGUGGCUCACCAAUGAACCUCAUGGCUGCCUCCUGCAAGGAUGCCUCAGGGUUCUCCAAGUACAGCAGGCUCUGUACCUGGUGCAGGUACUGCUCUGCUCUGCUCCUCUCCCUCAGCAGCUGGAGACAGCACAAAGCCAGGGGGUUGGUACCAAGCCUUCCCAGAAGGCCAGGCCUAUCCCUCCUCGCAUUACCAGCCUCCUCUUCCUUCCUGUUCAUGACUGCCAGCUAGAAGCUGUGUGGUACCGAGGUUCAGAGGGAGCAGAGGACAAGGUGUGUGUGUUCUGAGAGACCUGCAGAGCAGCAGAGACCAGGAGAUGCCACCACAGCCAGGGCAGGACACCCUGUGUCCCCAUCAUCUUGGCAAGGCUCCAAGCCUUUCCCAGCCCMGAAUGGGAAGAUGCAGCUUGGGUCUGUCCCUCGCUGAAGGCAGAGGCAGCUCUGCCUUGUCCUUGGGGACACAGGAAGUUGGACCUCACGCUGACAUGCAUUCAAAGGGACACUUGUCAACAGCCCUUGCCCUGAUGCUCUGGCCCACCCAAGGGAUGUCACCAUUGCUUGACAAAAUUGCUGGUCCAAACCUGGGCCGCUCCUUGGAUCUGGGCACUCAUGUGGAGGAAGAGUGGGACCAGGCUCCUCUGCACUUGCUGCUUCAUGCCCCGUUUGUUCUUCCCCACCACAAUCUCCAUCAGGCAGGGAGGAGAGGAGGGGAGGCCUCAGCAAUGACUCCAGGAAGCGGGCAU